UACGUAGGGACCAAGCGUUGUUCGGAUUUACUGGGCGUAAAGGGCGCGUAGGCGGCAAUUCAAGUCAUCUGUGAAAUCUCCGGGCUUAACUCGGAACGGUCAGAUGAUACUGCUUUGCUAGAGUGCGGAAGGGGCAAUCGGAAUUCUUGGUGUAGCGGUGAAAUGCGUAGAUAUCGGGAGGAACACCAGUGGCGAAGGCGACUACCUGGCCUGUUCUUGACGCUGAGGCGCGAAAGCUAGGGGAGCAAACGGGG
rnacentral:rRNA from 1 species